rnacentral:siRNA from 1 species
UCAAACAUUCAAGGGUAGGCU